rnacentral:rRNA from 1 species
GUAACCCGACACAGGUGGAUGAGGAGAGAAUCCUAAGGCCGACGGGAGAAGUGUUGUUAAGGAACUCGGCAAAAUGACCCCGUAACUUCGGGAGAAGGGGUGCCUCGAGAGAGGCCGCAGAGAAUAGGCCCAAGCGACUGUUUACCAAAAACACAGGUCUCUGCUAAAUCGAAAGAUGACGUAUAGGGGCUGACGCCUGCCCGGUGCUGGA